rnacentral:lncRNA from 1 species
CCGUUUUUUGAAGGCUUAUACAAAAUAGUUUCCUGCAAACUCAAGUGGCUGGGAAGCCCAGCUGAAGGUUACUUCUACCCCAAGGCCAUGUCAGCAGAAAGUGGCCAACAGGACUUGGGCCUGAAAAAGCUCAGACUGAAUUUUAGGAGUGACAUCUGAAACUGCUGGUUUCUCACAAGGAAUAAAAGCUGUCUGGGAAGCUGGAGAGGCAGUGUGCUGUCUGGAGCAGGGACUUGCAAAUGGGAACAGUGAAGAGAGACAGCAUCUCCUUCCUCUGAAGAUUCUGUUCAGAAUGGAUAAAGGUUCAGCAUCCUCCCUGGAUGGGGCAGCUUAGCAGAUUAAGACAACUGAGGUUAAGGGCCUGACUCCAGAUCACACAGCAAGGGAGAUGGCAAAAUCAAGAUUUCAACCCAGGAAACCUGCCUCCCAUGCCUAUGUUAAUCACUACACCCUUCCCACAAUAAAUAAUCAAAUAAGCUAUUAAGUUGUUAAUUAAUUUGCAGUGGAUAACAUGGUGUGGCCCCCACUUCUGGGUCUUCUGACUUAUAUCUGUGAAAGAUAGAUGAAGGUUCAAA